rnacentral:misc_RNA from 1 species
GAUGAAGAACGGCAGCGAAAUGCGAUACUUGGUGUGAAUUGCAGAAUCCCGUGAACCAUCGAGUCUUUGAACGCAAGUUGCGCCUCAAGCCAUUAGGUUGAGGGCACGUCUGCCUGGGCGUCACAUAUCGUUGCCUGAUGCCAGUUUCCUCGUGAUGGGUGACUGUGCAGGGCGAAUGAUGGCUUCCCGUGAGCAUUGUUGCCUCAUGGUUGGUUGAAAAUUGAGUCCUUGGUAGGGAGCGCCGUGAUAGAUGGUGGUUGAGUGACGAACGAGACCCAAUCAUGUGAGACCCCUACCGAAUUUGGCCUUCAUGACCCACAUGCGUCUUUGGAACGCUCAUGACGAGACCUCAGGUCAGGCGGGGCUACCCGCUGAGUUUAAGCAUAUCAAUAAGCGGAGGA